ACGAACGCUGGCGGCAUGCCUAACACAUGCAAGUCGCACGAGAAAGUCCGCAAGGAUGAGUAGAGUGGCGCACGGGUGAGUAAUACAUGGGUAAUCUGCCUUUUAAUUUGGAAUAACCAUUCGAAAGAAUGGCUAAUACCGGAGAGACCACAGGGACAUAAGUUCUAGGGGUUAAAGAUGGGGACCGUAAGGCCUAUCGUUAGAAGAGGAGCCCAUGCACUUUUAGCUAGUUGGUGAGGUAAUGGCUCACCAAGGCUUCGAUGGUUAGCAGGUCUGAGAGGAUGAUCUGCCACACUGGAACUGAGACACGGUCCAGACUCCUACGGGAGGCAGCAGUGGGGAAUUUUGCACAAUGGGCGCAAGCCUGAUGCAGCAAUGCCGCGUGAGCGAAGAAGGCCUUCGGGUUGUAAAGCUCUGUCGAGUGGGAAAAAUGUCUUUUUUGCCUAAUAAGCAGAGAGAGUGAUGGUACCACUAAAGGAAGAGGCGGCUAACCUCUGUGCCAGCAGCCGCGGUAAUACAGAGGCCUCAAGCGUUGUUCGGAAUUACUGGGCGUAAAGCGGGUGUAGGUGGUAUCGCAAGUCGGGUGUGAAAGCCCUAGGCUUAACCUAGGAAGUGCAUUCGAUACUGCGUUACUUGAGUGCGAUAGAGGAAAGUGGAAUUUCCAGUGUAGGAGUGGAAUCCGUAGAUAUUGGAAGGAAUACCGAUAGUGAAGACAGCUUUCUAGGUCGUAACUGACACUCAGAUCCGAAAGCAUGGGUAGCAAACAGGAUUAGAUACCCUGGUAGUCCAUGCCUUAAACGAUGGGUGCUUGUUGUUGGAAGAGUUAACCCUUUCAGUAACGAAGCUAACGCGUUAAGCACCCCGCCUGGGGAGUACGGUCGCAAGAUUAAAACUCAAAGAAAUUGACGGGGACCCGCACAAGCAGUGGAGCAUGUGGUUCAAUUCGAUGCAACGCGAAGAACCUUAUCCUGGUCUUGACAUCCACUGACCGCCGAUGAAAGUCGGUUUUUCUUCGCAAGAAGACAGUGAGACAGGUGCUGCAUGGCUGUCGUCAGCUCGUGUCGUGAGAUGUUGGGUUAAGUCCCGUAACGAGCGCAAACCCACGUCCUUUGUUACCAGCAUUAAGUUGGGGACUCUAAGGAGACUGCCAGUGUUAAACUGGAGGAAGGCGUGGAUGACGUCAAGUCCUCAUGGCCUUUAUGACCAGGGCCACACACGUGCUACAAUGGAAAGUACAAAGGGUCGCGAAACUGUGAAGUGGAGCCAAUCCCAAAAAGCUUUCCUCAGUUCGGAUUGAAGUCUGCAAUUCGACUUCAUGAAGCUGGAAUUGCUAGUAAUCACAGAUCAGAAUGCUGUGGUGAAUACGUUCUCGGGUCUUGUACACACCGCCCGUCACACCACGAAAGUUGUUUGCACCAGAAGUCGCCGAGCCAACCGCAAGGAGGCAAGCGCCCAAGGUGUGAGCAAUGAUUGGGGUG
rnacentral:rRNA from 1 species